rnacentral:misc_RNA from 1 species
GGUAUCUUCUUGGCCAACUCUGCAAGGAAUGGAGCAAUGAACUUGCAGGGACCACACCAGGAAGCAGUAAAGUCCACAACUAACAGUUUUUUGUUAUCAAUUCCCUUUUGGAGAUGCUGGUGCCAUUCAUCAACGGUGUGGACGCCAAAGACUUGUCCCCCCUCUGCCAUUUCUCUGAGUUGUUCUUUUUCUCUAUCGGCUUCGCAAAA